rnacentral:rRNA from 1 species
UUCCUACGGGAGGCAGCAGUGGGGAAUAUUGCACAAUGGGCGCAAGCCUGAUGCAGCAAUGCCGCGUGUGUGAAGAAGGCCUGCGGGUUGUAAAGCACUUUUAUUGGGAAAGAAAAACCCGGAGCUAAUACCUCCGGCAUUGGCGGUACCCAAAGAAUAAGCACCGGCUAACUCAGUGCCAGCAGCCGCGGUAAUACUGAGGGUGCGAGCGUUAAUCGGAAUUACUGGGCGUAAAGCGAGUGUAGGCGGUUACCUAAGUCGGAUGUGAAAUCCCCGGGCUCAACCUGGGAAUUGCAUUCGAUACUGGGUGACUAGAGUUUGGUAGAGGUAAGUGGAAUUCCGGGUGUAGCGGUGAAAUGCGUAGAUAUCCGGAGGAACAUCAGUGGCGAAGGCGGCUUACUGGACCAAAACUGACGCUGAGGCUCGAAAGCGUGGGUAGCAAACAGGAUUAGAUACCCUGGUAGUCCACCCCCUAAACUAUGUCAACUAGACGUUGGGCUCAUUAAUGAGCUUAGUGUCGUAGCUAACGCGUUAAGUUGACCGCCUGGGGAGUACGGCCGCAAGGUUGAAACUCAAAGGAAUUGACGGAA